rnacentral:rRNA from 1 species
GAUGAACGCUGGCGGCGUGCCUAAUACAUGCAAGUCGAGCGAACAGACGAGGAGCUUGCUCCUCUGACGUUAGCGGCGGACGGGUGAGUAACACGUGGAUAACCUACCUAUAAGACUGGGAUAACUUCGGGAAACCGGAGCUAAUACCGGAUAAUAUAUUGAACCGCAUGGUUCAAUAGUGAAAGACGGUUUUGCUGUCACUUAUAGAUGGAUCCGCGCCGCAUUAGCUAGUUGGUAAGGUAACGGCUUACCAAGGCAACGAUGCGUAGCCGACCUGAGAGGGUGAUCGGCCCCACUGGAACUGAAACACGGUCCAGACUCCUACGGGAGGCAGCAGUAGGGAAUCUUCCGCAAUGGGCGAAAGCUUGACGGAGCAACGCCGCGUGAGUGAUGAAGGUCUUCGGAUCGUAAAACUCUGUUAUUAGGGAAGAACAAAUGUGUAAGUAACUAUGCACGUCUUGACGGUACCUAAUCAGAAAGCCACGGCUAACUACGUG